rnacentral:rRNA from 1 species
UACGUAGGGUGCGAGCGUUGUCCGGAAUUAUUGGGCGUAAAGCGCGCGUAGGCGGCUUUGCAAGUCGGGUGUGAAAUCCCCAAGCUUAACUUGGGAACUGCAUUCGAGACUGCAUUGCUAGAGUAUGGGAGAGGGAAGUGGAAUUUCCGGUGUAGCGGUGAAAUGCGUAGAUAUCGGAAGGAACAUCAGUGGCGAAAGCGACUUCCUGGACCAAUACUGACGCUCAUGUGCGAAAGCGUGGGAGCAAACAGG